rnacentral:rRNA from 1 species
GCGAACGCUGGCGGCAGGCCUAACACCUGCAAGUCGAACGGAUCCUUCGGGAUUAGUGGCGGACGGGUGAGUAACACGUGGGAACGUGCCCUUUGGUUCGGAACAACUCAGGGAAACUUUAGCUAAUACCGGAUGUGCCCUUCGGGGGAAAGAUUUAUCGCCAUUGGAGCGGCCCGCUUCUGAUUAGCUAGUUGGUGAGGUAACGGCCCACCAAGGCGACGAUCAGUAGCUGGUCUGAGAGGAUGAUCAGCCACACUGGGACUGAGACACGGCCCAGACUCCUACGGGAGGCAGCAGUGGGGAAUCUUGCGCAAUGGGCGAAAGCCUGACGCAGCCAGGCCGCGUGAAUGAUGAAGGUCUUAGGAUUGUAAAAUUCUUUCAGCGGGGACGAUAAUGACGGUACCCGCAGAAGAAGCUCCGGCUAACUUCGUG